UCUCAUUUCAAAAUCAGGACCUCAGAGAGUGGCCAGGAGCCGCCUGUCUAGUGAGACGCGGAAGGGCGUGGUGGGCACAACUAAGAAAUAUGAAAAGAGAGAGAGAAAAAAAGAACUUGGCGGAGGCUGAAGGCCCUGUAACGGAGAAACUGAUUCUACGGGACCCGAAGUGAGGCAGCCUGAGUUAGGGUGUACAAACGCUGAUCUGGGUACCCCUGAAGCAGGGCCUUUAGAGGUUACUUCGGCUCUGGAAACUGGCCCGUAUUUGAGGAACUGAUGGCUCAAAUCUUAGCGCAUAAGUAGUUAAAUACACAAAGAAGACCUGUCAUGGGAGAGUUGAGUGCGCGGGGCGAGCGAAGUCUUCGGGAGGCGACAGCUGCAGAAGCGGCAUUCGUUGGAAUAUGCAAUUAGGAGGCCCGCUCCAGUCCCACACGCUAUCCUGUUGACGGACAGUACUGCACACCCCCAACUCUUGUCCCUGGGCUGCUGAUCCAUUCUCAAACGUCAGCGGUCCCAUCAGGAUGUUCUCUUUUUUCUGGGAUGUAAUUCAUUUAGGGGAGGACUCAAGUUAAAUACGGGCAAUGUUGCGUACGUUUACUAGAUCACCUCUCCUCACCCGCACGUAAACUUGGGAAGAACAGAGACAGAGCUGUAUCUAUUUUAUCCGUUGUUGUAUCCCUGUCGCCUAGCAGUGCGCAUUUCCCGAAUGAAUGAAUUAAGUAGAGAACAUUUUGCUAGAAUCAUUUUGCCCCCUUCGGAGUUCAGUCCUUAAGCGUUCCACCUUGCCCAGCCUGAAGAAGAUUCUCUGAAGAAAUGGGAAUAAAAUGGAAGUGAAGCAUUGUACCAACUGUUUAUUUAGUGCCUACUAUGCAAUAUGGUGUAGGAUAAACAGCAAAAACAGACAGUUUUGGGGGCGUUGGGGAGGAGAAUAUUAAGUAAUGAUAUUAAUGAGGACAUAAUUAUCCACUGAGAGAAGUGUAGUAAGGUAGGGAAUACUAUUCUAUGAUAGGGUAUAAUAAAAGAUCCUUGAUGCGGGGAGGAGCAACAUACCGAUGGUUAACUGAUGUGAAGAAUCAGAAAUUGGCAAAAAGGUGGGAUGGUGGAGUGGAACAGCGAUCAAGAGACAAAGGCACUGAAGAGGAACCAUCGAUUUUAACAGGAUCCGGUGCAUCAGAGACUAAACCGAACCUAUUCCUACUCUUUUCUUCUUGCUUGAGAAAUGACUUAUGUUGUCUUUAACCUCCUCCCUCCCUCAAACUUGACAUUGUUUUGGAUUUUGGAUGUCUCAGCUUUCCUUUUCUUAAAAACCUGACACUGCUGUUGAACACUAAGCACCUUUUCUCUGUCAUAAUCCUUUUUUCCCAAACUGAGCUCUUCGAUUUUGUUUCUUUUGUCUCGUUUAAGAUGGAAGUUACUGGUUCUUAAUGAUACUAACAUAAUUACUUAUUUGCCUUGUCCAUGUACACAUAUAUACACACAUACAUAUAUGUAAAACAAUAAUAACAAUAUUGCUAAAUAAGUGCUGAAUGAA